UACGGAGGGUGCGAGCGUUGUCCGGAAUCACUGGGCGUAAAGGGCGCGUAGGCGGCGCGGAAAGUCAACGGUGAAAGCUUGGGGCUCAACUCCGAAACUGCAUUCGAUACUGCCGUGCUUGAGGACUGGAGAGGAGACUGGAAUUUACGGUGUAGCGGUGAAAUGCGUAGAUAUCGUAAGGAAGACCAGUGGCGAAGGCGGGUCUCUGGACAGUUCCUGACGCUGAGGCACGAAGGCCAGGGGAGCAAACGGG
rnacentral:rRNA from 1 species